GGGGAUACGGCUCUCUUCAUCAGAUCUGUUAUGCUGGGCAUAAUUUAAUGUUCACAGGCCGCUUCUUUCAAGACGCGUCUUUUCUUCCAUUUGACUCAUGCGCUUGAACUUGUGCUGGGACCUCUUGUUGCAACCUUCUGCUUUCCGGUGCUGGGGAUUUUUAUUGUUUCCUGCUGGGGAUUCCUGUUGUAACCUUCUACCUUCUGGUGGGUUACUGAUUUCAAGAUCUGUAGUACAAGACUCAAAAGUAUUCCUCUCGUUAUACAAGUGGGCGCCUGAAUGCAAAAAUAUGAAAUGUAUGCCCGCAUUAUACUGGUGGGCAACCUAGAACAAAAAUGAAAAGACAGAAAUGUAUUCCCGCAUUAUACUGGUGGACGACCUAGAAUAGAAAUGUAUUCCCGCAUUAUACUGGUGGGCGACCUAGAACAUAAAUGUAUUCCCGCAUUAUACUGGUGGGCGACCUAGAACAGAAAUGAAAAGACAGAAAUGUAUUCCCGCAUUAUACUGGUAGACGACCUAGAAUAGAAAUGUAUUCCCGCAUUAUACUGGUGGGCGACCUAGAACUUAAAUGUAUUCCCGCAUUAUACUGGUGGGCGACCUAGAACUUAAAUGUAUUCCCGCAUUAUACUGGUGGGCGACCUAGAACAGAAAGUAUUCCCGCAUUUUACUGGUGGGCGACCUAGAAUAGAAAGUACUCCCGCAUUUUACUGGUGGGCGACCUAGAACAGAAAGUACUCCCGCAUUUUACUGGUGGGCGACCUAGAACAGAAAGUACUCCCGCAUUUUACUGGUGGGCGACCUAGAACAGAAAGUGUUCCCACAUUUUACUGGUGGGCGACCUAGAACAGAAAGUGUUCCCGCAUUUUACUGGUGAGCGACCUAGAACAGAUAGUAUUCCCGCAUUUUACUGGUGGACGACCUAGAACAGAAAGUACUCCCGCAUUUUACUGGUGGGCGACCUAGAACAGAAAGUAUUCCCGCAUUUUACUGGUGGGCGACCUAGAACAGAAAGUACUCCCGCAUUUUACUGGUGGGCGUCCUAGAACAGAAAGUACUCCCGCAUUUUACUGGUGGGCGACCUAGAACAGAAAGAAUUC
rnacentral:lncRNA from 1 species